UCCACCCACCACUGUUUGUCUAAAAAAACACCCAACCCUCGAUCCAGAUCCCCUUCUCCCUUCUCCCGAUUCACCCCUCGUCUCCCUCCCAUUCCACGCCGCCGCCGCCGCCCACGACCCUCGACGACCUCCCCACCGACGCCGAGAAAACAGAGUCACCUCUUCUUCUCCUCCCAAAUCCUCCCGCUCCCCCUGCACAUUUCUGCAUGUCCCCGCUCCCUCCCUCGCUCCACCACGGCGGCCUCCCCCGCCGGCGGAUCUGGGACUGGGAGACGCAGCUGCGCUAGUGGUGGUCGGUUGGUUGGUGGCGGACCGGCAGAGCCUCAGUGACCAUCGAUUGGAGGCAAGGGGAUUGAGGGCGGGGAGUCGACGGCGAAAACAGAGGGCGGAGAUCCAUCGGUGGCCAGCAGCAGCAGCUCAGGCACUCAGGAAGGUGCCAAGGAGAUGCUGGACCAAGGCAUGGAGGCAUUGCGAGCUGAAGAGCACAUAACUGCAGAUGCUGGAGGCCGGGCCGGUGAGCCGAGGAUUGGAGGUAGCGCUGAUUGGUGUUUUUAUGGAGAGAUAAGAUGCCGCUGUUUGGUGUUUUUAUGCAUUUUGGUUUGCUUGUAACUGUGUUUGCACUAGCUGUGAGUAAGUGACUUGGCAAGAAGUGUAGAUGUUUUAAUUGAAGGCAUGAAAAGCCAUGACAAUAUGUAUGCUCUUACAUGAUGUGCUAUAAUGCCGCUGGUUUAUUAUAAAUCUUGGAUUAGUAAUGAUGCGUAAUGCUGCUGGUUUA